rnacentral:rRNA from 1 species
ACGGAAGGCAGCAGUGAGGAAUAUUGGUCAAUGGGCGGAAGCCUGAACCAGCCAAGUCGCGUGAAGGAAGACGGUAUUAUGUAUUGUAAACUUCUUUAGCAGGGGAGCAAUAAUCGCCACGCGUGGUGAGAUGAGAGUACCCUGAGAAUAAGGAUCGGCUAACUCCGUGCCAGCAGCCGCGGUAAUACGGAGGAUCCGAGCGUUAUCCGGAUUUAUUGGGUUUAAAGGGUGCGCAGGCGGCUUUUUAAGUCAGUGGUUAAAUCGUGACGCUCAACGUCAUCACGCCAUUGAUACUGGAGAGCUUGAUUGCGGUCGAGGUUUGCGGAAUUCGUUGUGUAGCGGUGAAAUGCAUAGAUAUGACGAAGAACACCGAUUGCGUAGGCAGCAGACCAGGCCGUAAAUGACGCUCAUGCACGAAAGUGCGGGGAUCGAACAGGAUUAGAUACCCUGGUA